AAUACGCGCCCUGUUUCCGAGGGUUUAAUUCACUGGGUUGUCUCUGAGAAUCAGAGUCAGAGCUAAGUUUCACACUCAGGAGCGGUUUUCGCUGUCGAGUACUAUUGCCCUCCCAGCCCAGAGAAGUCCGUCUGCAAACUGGGUAAACCCUUUCUCCAAGCAGCCUUGACCUCACUCCUGCAACUCAUCACUUUUAUUUAUGGCCCCGUGAGCAGCGGCUGUGUCGCUCAGCCCGGCCCCAAGAACAGUCACCGCGAACAAUGAGCCAGGGAAGGGACCCACCCAGCGAACGCCUGCUCGCUGGCCGCGCGCAAGCCCGCUAGCGCGGGACGCUCCGGCUUCGGGGAUCCCGCCGCCCCCGUCCUUUCCCCUCCAGAACCCAAGAAAAACGAGAAGAGAAAGACGCCGAGGCGUGGAGGAGAAAUGGAGAGAAAAGGCAAGACUUACUUGGCGGCCGAAGGCUCAGCCAGACUCCCGCUUCGGACUCGGCAGGUGUCUGGCACCGCGGGCCCAGGCGGAAGGCGCUGGCGCAGCUCCGAGCCGGGCUCCACUUGAGCGAGGACGGAAACUCCCCUCGCCACCCGGCCCCGCGCGGCGCUCCCCGCUGUCACGGCACCGAGCGACGCAGGCACGCUCCCCACUGCCGCCUCUGUCCUGACAAAUUUAAAGACUUCUCUCUAAGGGCUCCCCACAGCACUGUUCAUAUUGCAAUGAUCAUUCUUUCUACCCACACCAUAUGUGGUAUUCUCUCUUCCUGUGACUGCCUCCACGACUGGUCGGUAAGUUUCUCCAGGCAGAAGUUUGUCACACUCUAACCUUAUCAGCAGCAUCUAAUGUAAUCCCCAGUACGUACUAUAUGCUCAAAAAACUGUUCAAGGAAUGAAUGCCCUUUAAAUAUGAUGCCAGCGCUGCUUGUCUGCAUCUCAACUAAUAGGUCAUGGAGAAAACUAAUACCUUUUUACAUUUGGCUAGGUGAUUUCUCAUACAUUCUUUAAUGUAAUCCUUCAAACAAGUCUUGGUAGGUUUUACCCACUUUUUUAACUUGGUGAAUGUCAUUAAGUUCAAAACUCCUAAACUCAGAGCUGGGCUCCAAGUUCCUCCAGACUAGCACAAGCUGAAUGGGGUUGGCUUUCUUAUCACACUACCAGCCAGCCCUGACUGCCCAAUGCUACAUGAUGAAGUUAUCUACCAUGGAAGAGCCUGUCCAAACAGCUCUUUUUUCCAAAGUAGGAUUUUUCCCUUCCUUUGUCCUCUUUUGUAACUCUUGAGCCUCUUAAUUCAGAGUUCUAAAAACAAACAAACAAAACAACAGCAACAAUGAAAACAUCUCUGAACUCAGACCUUUUAUAAGCACUUAUUGUCUUAACUCUUACACUUAAAAAAAAAGUUACUAUUUUUCCCCAUGUAUUUUGACUCCGUUAUCCUGUAUCUUACACGGGGAUUUAUUUCUCUGGCUCCUCCAUUGAAAUAAAUAGCAGCUAACCUUAAGUUAGAGACAUCAUCUAACAGCCAGCCAUUACUCUGAGCACUUUACACAUAUAUUAGCUCAUUUAAUCCUCAACAACCUUAUCGAGACUAUUUUAUACAUGGCAAACAGGCACAGAGGUGGGGUCACAUGGCCAGUAAUUAGUGGAACAAGGGUUGGAUUCCUGAGAGUCUGUUCAGUGGCUUCUCUUUCUCUGUCUUCUGUGAUCCCUUAUACCUAAGAGAUGUUAGUAAAUACUUUUUUUUUAAAUACAUGAGAGGGACUUUAUUUUUUUUUAAUGUUUAUUUAUUUUGAAAGCGAGAGAGCAAGCA